rnacentral:rRNA from 1 species
GACGAACGCUGGCGGCGUGCUUAACACAUGCAAGUCGAGCGGUAAGGCCCUUCGGGGUACACGAGCGGCGAACGGGUGAGUAACACGUGGGUGAUCUGCCCUGCACUUCGGGAUAAGCCUGGGAAACUGGGUCUAAUACCGGAUAUGACCUUCGGCUGCAUGGCCGUUGGUGGAAAGGUUUACUGGUGCAGGAUGGGCCCGCGGCCUAUCAGCUUGUUGGUGGGGUAAUGGCCUACCAAGGCGACGACGGGUAGCCGACCUGAGAGGGUGACCGGCCACACUGGGACUGAGACACGGCCCAGACUCCUACGGGAGGCAGCAGUGGGGAAUAUUGCACAAUGGGCGAAAGCCUGAUGCAGCGACGCCGCGUGAGGGAUGACGGCCUUCGGGUUGUAAACCUCUUUCAGCAGGGACGAAGCGAAAGUGACGGUACCUGCAGAAGAAGCACCGGCCAACUACGUGCCAGCCGCCGCCGUAAAAC